rnacentral:rRNA from 1 species
UGGGGAAUAUUGCGCAAUGGGGGGAACCCUNNNNCAGCCAUGCCGCGUGAAUGAAGAAGGCCUUCGGGUUGUAAAGUUCUUUCGGUAUUGAGGAAGGUUGAUGUGUUAAUAGCACAUCAAAUUGACGUUAAAUACAGAAGAAGCACCGGCUAACUCCGUGCCUGCAGCCGCGGUAAUACGGAGGGUGCGAGCGUUAAUCGGAAUAACUGGGCGUAAAGGGCACGCAGGCGGUUAUUUAAGUGAGGUGUGAAAGCCCUGGGCUUAACCUAGGAAUUGCAUUUCAGACUGGGUAACUAGAGUACUUUAGGGAGGGGUAGAAUUCCACGUGUAGCGGUGAAAUGCGUAGAGAUGUGGAGGAAUACCGAAGGCGAAGGCAGCCCCUUGGGAAUGUACUGACGCUCAUGUGCGAAAGCGUGGGGAGCAAACAGGAUUAGAUACCCUGGUAGUCCACGCUGUAAACGCUGUCGAUUUGGGGGUUGGGGUUUAACUCUGGCGCCCGUAGCUAACGUGAUAAAUCGACCGCCUGGGGAGUACGGCCGCAAGGUUA